ensembl:lncRNA
ACUGUACCGCUUCUAAGACUUUACUGUUGACAUAUUCUACCUCACAGAGAUUAGAAUACACUGUACCGCUUCUAAGACUUUACUGUUAACAUAUUCUACCUCACAGAGAUUAGAAUACACUGUACCGCUUCUAAAACCUUACUGUUGACAGAUGGCACCUCUUCUUCUUAUGAAAUGACCUGUUCAAUUAUGUAAUUUCUUCACAGCAGAGCUGAGGUGAAUUUACGAACACUAAAUUCGCAAAUAUGUUCUAUCUGAGAUAUGGAAAGUUUCAUAUCAAACACAACUCAAAGUCUUCACAGGAAAAAAUAAUUCCCAAUUCCUCAAUUUAUGCUUAUAACUUCAUCUAGCCAAUAACAUGCAGAUGGUUCCCAGCAGACGGUCUGCAGAGUAAAUCUUAUGAUAGUUCUAUCGUGUUACUCAGAGCAGAAUAGAAGCUUGUGGUCUUGGUAUGCAGUAGCUGCUCCUGGCUGACUAUAAUUGUGUGUGUCUGACAAAGCCUUCUCAGUGGAACAUCAAUUCCCUGUGUUUCCUUCUUUUAACUUCUUGGCGCACCCAUCCCGUUAGCGGGAUCAUUUUUGUCAACAUCCGCUGAAUUGCAGAGCGCCAAAUUCAAAUUAAAAUACUGAAAAUAUUUAAUUUUCAUGAAAUCACAAGUGCAAUAUAGCAAAACACAGCUUAGCUUUUUGUUAAUCCACCUGGCAUUUCAGAUUUCAAAAAAGCUUUACAGCGAAAGCAAACCAAGCGUUUAUGUGAGGUCAUCUCUCUCAGCAGACAAAACAUUACAAACAGUUAGCAGCAAAGUAGAUUGGUUACGAAAGUCAGAAAAGCAAUACAAUAAAUCGCUUGCCUUUGAUGAUCUUUGGAUGUUUGCACUCACGAGACUCCCAGUUGCACAAUAAAUGUUCCUUUUGUUCGAUAAAGAUUAUUUUUAUAUCCAAAAACCUCCAUUUGGUUGGUGCAUUUGUUUAGUAAUCCACAGGCUUGUGCAGGUCACGAAGGGCAGACGAAAAUUCCAAAUAGUGUCCGUAAAGUUCGUAGAAACAUGUCAAACGGUUUUUAUAAUCAAUCCUCAGGUUAUUUUUACAAUAAAUUAUCGAUAAUAUUUCAACCAGACGGUAGCUUUUUCAAUAGGAGAGAGAGAGAACAUGUCUGCUCCAAGCUGUUGGCGCAUGCAGAAGUCUGGGGACACCCAGUUAUGCACUGACGCGAUGUGAUCGUUCUCACUCAUUUUUCAGAAUAAAAGGCUGAAACUAUGUCUAAAGACUGUUCACACCAUGUGGAAGCCAUAGGGAAAGGAAUCUGGUUGAUAUCCCUUUAAAUGGAGGGAAGGCAUGCAAUGGAACAGGGAGGUUUCAAAAUAAGAUGCACUUCCUGGUUGGAUAUUCCUCAGGUUUUCGCCUGCAAUAUCAGUUCUGUUAUACUCACAGACAAUAUUUUGACAGUUUUGGAAAUGUUAGAGUGUUUUCUAUCCUAAUCUGCCAAUUAUAUGCAUAUUCUAGCUUCUGGGCCUGAGAAAUAGGCCGUUUCAUUUGGGUACGUUUUUCAUCCAAACAUCAAAAUACUGCCCUCUAGACUCAACAGGUUAAAGGAACUUAAAAUGCCUCAAAUGAAUGUGUCUCAUGAGAAAGACAAAAUGUGACAUAAAUCAUCUUGUUUAGCCUCCGUAUUGUUCUCGGUGUAUGUUACCGGCGGUGAUUGUGUGUGAGGUGUGCAUAUGUGUGUGUGUUAUGGUGUUGAACUUAAUUAGAAUCCUCUGUUGAACGGAGAACUAGAUGAUGAAACAUGCAUACCACUCAGAAUAGAUUAUUACUGCUUUACUGAUUAAGUUAGCUGGGAGAAAGAGGAGAAACAGAUUGAGGAUUCUCAGAAGAUUCUCAGAAGAACAAGACAAAUAAUACUUUAUCAUCGAUUGUUAUUUUCACUUUUUUAAACCCCAUCAGACUCUCUGGUUGUCCAGUUAAUAUACGCAUGUUUUCGAUGACCUGAUGACACCUGUCCGGAUGCUGUCCGGAUGCCCACCCCGAAGAGCCCCGCAGGGGAUUGGCCGAGGCCAGCUGUGGUGUCGGUGUUGAUUGGAUACCCUCGUUAGUGUUAGACAAACUGCUUCCUGUCUCAGGAUGAGGCACAGGGGGGCUAGAACCAUGAUGGACAGUUGCACUGGGGAUACUAAUCCAAUUCUGGGAGGCUAAGAAUCCCACUAUCCCAUAGCUCAAUGCUGGAAGCUGAGCAUCACUCAAAGCAGAGACGUUUCUAUACAUUCCAGCUGGAGAACACAAGCUGAUUUCAUUGGCAGUACAGUAUGAUACCGUAGUGUAUUUCCAGCCACAGCUGUCUUCUGCUAGAUAGUUUGCCAGUAAUUACCUACAUACGAAUAAGGCCUCUUCAUUUGUAAAUGAUUUGAACAAGUUUAUUUGAAUCAUCAUUCAGAACGACACAUUCAACUCUUUGGGACUCACCGCAGGCAUACAUAUAUGAUGUUUCCUGUAAUCUGACGACUUCCUAAUAGAGAUGCCUCAUUUUUUCGCACUCACACUCACACUUCAAUACAGUACAAUACAUCUUAUAAAACAAAUAUCAGGUACAAAUAUGUUUGCAUAAUUUAACAUGAUAAAAAUAACGUUUUACUUAGACAUUUUUCCUGUAAGUGUGAUAAUACUGUAUAUUGACUCUCAAUGUACAGGUACAUAUAACUGCCAAAAUAAUGGAAACACAUGAGUAAAUGAGGGAUACAAAGAAUAUUGAAAGCAGGUAAUUCCACACAGGUGUGGUUCCUGAGUUAAUUAAGCAAUUCAUGUCCCAUCAUGCUUAGGGUCAUGUAUAAUAAUGCUGGGCAGGCCAUUAUUUUGGCUACCAUGGCUAGGAUGACAUUGUCUCCAUCCACAGGGCAGAAGUGAUCACUGAAUGGUUUGAUGAGCAUGAAAACGACGUAAACCAUAUGCUAUGGUGGUCUCAUUUAUCACGCCUCAAUCCAAUUGAACUCCUAUAGGAGAUUCUGGAGCGACGCCUGAGAAAGCGUUUUCAUCAACAAAACACCAAAUGAUGGUUCUCGUCCCUCCAACAAAGUUCCAGACACUUGUAGAAUCUAUGCAUUAAAGCUUUUAUUUAAGACACUUUA